rnacentral:rRNA from 1 species
UACGGGGGGGGCAAGCGUUGUUCGGAAUUACUGGGCGUAAAGGGCUCGUAGGCGGCCAACUAAGUCAGACGUGAAAUCCCACGGCUUAACCGGGGAACUGCAUCUGAUACUGGAUGGCUUGAGUUCGGGAGAGGGAUGCGGAAUUCCAGGUGUAGCGGUGAAAUGCGUAGAUAUCUGGAGGAACACCGGUGGCGAAGGCGGCAUCCUGGACCGACACUGACGCUGAGGAGCGAAAGCCAGGGGAGCAAACGGG